rnacentral:rRNA from 1 species
GACGGUGGGGGCAAGUGUUCUUCGGAAUGACUGGGCGUAAAGGGCACGUAGGCGGUGAAUCGGGUUGAAAGUGAAAGUCGCCAAAAAGUGGCGGAAUGCUCUCGAAACCAAUUCACUUGAGUGAGACAGAGGAGAGUGGAAUUUCGUGUGUAGGGGUGAAAUCCGUAAAUAUACGAAGGAACGCCAAAAGCGAAGGCAGCUCUCUGGGUCCCUACCGACGCUGGGGCGCGAAAGCAUGGGGAGCGAACAGG